rnacentral:rRNA from 1 species
GGUUAAGCGACUAAGCGUACACGGUGGAUGCCCUGGCAGUCAGAGGCGAUGAAGGACGUGCUAAUCUGCGAUAAGCGUCGGUAAGGUGAUAUGAACCGUUAUAACCGGCGAUUUCCGAAUGGGGAAACCCAGUGUGAUUCGUCACACUAUCAUUAACUGAAUCCAUAGGUUAAUGAGGCGAACCGGGGGAACUGAAACAUCUAAGUACCCCGAGGAAAAGAAAUCAACCGAGAUUCCCCCAGUAGCGGCGAGCGAACGGGGAGCAGCCCAGAGCCUGAAUCAGUGUGUGUGUUAGUGGAAGCGUCUGGAAAGGCGUGCGAUACAGGGUGACAGCCCCGUACACAAAAAUGCACAUAUUGUGAGCUCGAUGAGUAGGGCGGGACACGUGGUAUCCUGUCUGAAUAUGGGGGGACCAUCCUCCAAGGCUAAAUACUCCUGACUGACCGAUAGUGAACCAGUACCGUGAGGGAAAGGCGAAAAGAACCCCGGCGAGGGGAGUGAAAAAGAACCUGAAACCGUGUACGUACAAGCAGUGGGAGCACGCUUAGGCGUGUGACUGCGUACCUUUUGUAUAAUGGGUCAGCGACUUAUAUUCUGUAGCAAGGUUAACCGAAUAGGGGAGCCGAAGGGAAACCGAGUCUUAACUGGGCGUUAAGUUGCAGGGUAUAGACCCGAAACCCGGUGAUCUAGCCAUGGGCAGGUUGAAGGUUGGGUAACACUAACUGGAGGACCGAACCGACUAAUGUUGAAAAAUUAGCGGAUGACUUGUGGCUGGGGGUGAAAGGCCAAUCAAACCGGGAGAUAGCUGGUUCUCCCCGAAAGCUAUUUAGGUAGCGCCUCGUGAAUUCAUCUCCGGGGGUAGAGCACUGUUUCGGCAAGGGGGUCAUCCCGACUUACCAACCCGAUGCAAACUGCGAAUACCGGAGAAUGUUAUCACGGGAGACACACGGCGGGUGCUAACGUCCGUCGUGAAGAGGGAAACAACCCAGACCGCCAGCUAAGGUCCCAAAGUCAUGGUUAAGUGGGAAACGAUGUGGGAAGGCCCAGACAGCCAGGAUGUUGGCUUAGAAGCAGCCAUCAUUUAAAGAAAGCGUAAUAGCUCACUGGUCGAGUCGGCCUGCGCGGAAGAUGUAACGGGGCUAAACCAUGCACCGAAGCUGCGGCAGCGACGCUUAUGCGUUGUUGGGUAGGGGAGCGUUCUGUAAGCCUGUGAAGGUGUGCUGUGAGGCAUGCUGGAGGUAUCAGAAGUGCGAAUGCUGACAUAAGUAACGAUAAAGCGGGUGAAAAGCCCGCUCGCCGGAAGACCAAGGGUUCCUGUCCAACGUUAAUCGGGGCAGGGUGAGUCGACCCCUAAGGCGAGGCCGAAAGGCGUAGUCGAUGGGAAACAGGUUAAUAUUCCUGUACUUGGUGUUACUGCGAAGGGGGGACGGAGAAGGCUAUGUUGGCCGGGCGACGGUUGUCCCGGUUUAAGCGUGUAGGCUGGUUUUCCAGGCAAAUCCGGAAAAUCAAGGCUGAGGCGUGAUGACGAGGCACUACGGUGCUGAAGCAACAAAUGCCCUGCUUCCAGGAAAAGCCUCUAAGCAUCAGGUAACAUCAAAUCGUACCCCAAACCGACACAGGUGGUCAGGUAGAGAAUACCAAGGCGCUUGAGAGAACUCGGGUGAAGGAACUAGGCAAAAUGGUGCCGUAACUUCGGGAGAAGGCACGCUGAUAUGUAGGUGAAGUCCCUUGCGGAUGGAGCUGAAAUCAGUCGAAGAUACCAGCUGGCUGCAACUGUUUAUUAAAAACACAGCACUGUGCAAACACGAAAGUGGACGUAUACGGUGUGACGCCUGCCCGGUGCCGGAAGGUUAAUUGAUGGGGUCAGCGCAAGCGAAGCUCUUGAUCGAAGCCCCGGUAAACGGCGGCCGUAACUAUAACGGUCCUAAGGUAGCGAAAUUCCUUGUCGGGUAAGUUCCGACCUGCACGAAUGGCGUAAUGAUGGCCAGGCUGUCUCCACCCGAGACUCAGUGAAAUUGAACUCGCUGUGAAGAUGCAGUGUACCCGCGGCAAGACGGAAAGACCCCGUGAACCUUUACUAUAGCUUGACACUGAACAUUGAGCCUUGAUGUGUAGGAUAGGUGGGAGGCUUUGAAGUGUGGACGCCAGUCUGCAUGGAGCCGACCUUGAAAUACCACCCUUUAAUGUUUGAUGUUCUAACGUGGACCCGUGAUCCGGGUUGCGGACAGUGUCUGGUGGGUAGUUUGACUGGGGCGGUCUCCUCCUAAAGAGUAACGGAGGAGCACGAAGGUUGGCUAAUCCUGGUCGGACAUCAGGAGGUUAGUGCAAUGGCAUAAGCCAGCUUGACUGCGAGCGUGACGGCGCGAGCAGGUGCGAAAGCAGGUCAUAGUGAUCCGGUGGUUCUGAAUGGAAGGGCCAUCGCUCAACGGAUAAAAGGUACUCCGGGGAUAACAGGCUGAUACCGCCCAAGAGUUCAUAUCGACGGCGGUGUUUGGCACCUCGAUGUCGGCUCAUCACAUCCUGGGGCUGAAGUAGGUCCCAAGGGUAUGGCUGUUCGCCAUUUAAAGUGGUACGCGAGCUGGGUUUAGAACGUCGUGAGACAGUUCGGUCCCUAUCUGCCGUGGGCGCUGGAGAACUGAGGGGGGCUGCUCCUAGUACGAGAGGACCGGAGUGGACGCAUCACUGGUGUUCGGGUUGUCAUGCCAAUGGCACUGCCCGGUAGCUAAAUGCGGAAGAGAUAAGUGCUGAAAGCAUCUAAGCACGAAACUUGCCCAGAGAUGAGUUCUCCCUGACUCCUUGAGAGUCCUGAAGGAACGUUGAAGACGACGACGUUGAUAGGCCGGGUGUGUAAGCGCAGCGAUGCGUUGAGCUAACCGGUACUAAUGAACCGUGAGGCUUAACCUU